AGAGACUAACCAUAUACUAAGGGUAAGAAUCUUAAGUUAAUUUACAUAGUUAUGCAGAAACUAUCAAACAUAUAUAUAAGAACAUAAACAUAAAUAGAAAUAUUUUUGUGGGGAAAAUAUAAGAACUUACAUGAAGUAACUAGGAGAGAGGUUUCCCUUUCGGGAACCCCCUAAAGAUCGAAUAAAAAACUUGAAGCUUUUAUUUAAACCACGAUGUUACAAAGUUUAUACAAGAAAGACUGGGUUAGACAAGUUUUUUGGGAGGAAAGGUUUAAACAUUUCAAGUGAGUUUUGAGGUUGGUUGAUUUCACUCUGUCUUUCUACUACAAAAUGUGCGCCUUUUAUAGGCAAUAUGUACAUAAAGGAGAGGUUCUAAAGGCUACUACGUGGCCGCAACAUAGUUGGCCAACACUUUAAGAUAAGGGAUAAGAAAGAAAACUUUAAUAAUGCAAGUCGGGUACGCUUUGGGCCCCAUCGUCACAUGCGUUAUUAAUUUUCUUUCAAACUUAGUUUGACGCGUGCUUAACAGUUUUUCUUUUUUUUAGAAAGUAGUGAUAAAGGAAGCACCCGGACUGACUCUGACUAUUACAAGACAUAAAGUGGGCAUCCCCACUUGACCAUACUAGCUAAUAAUACAAACUGUGAAAACUGUAGAUUAUCUUUACGUAUCCAAGUUGUGCAGGGCUAUGGAGUCGAAGCUCAUGCCUGAGUCGUCGUCUUCAUAUGGAUCCUGAGCAUCCUGGAAUUGUGCUAUGCUAUCUUCUUCAUUUGAUCUUGCAGAAUUAUUAUCUGUAUUAUUUAUUUCUGGUACAGUGCUAUCCGGCUGUUCGUCUGGUAGUCCAUCCAUAUAUUUGUCUUGCGUUUGGUUACUAAAAAAUCUGUCUAGAGUCUGUUUAAUUAUUGUCUCUAUCGUCUCACUUUUUCUCUUGGAUAUUAAAGUCUUUUUUGAAGUCUUAGAUCUUAUUUUAGCUUUUGAUGAAGAGCAGCCUUCAUCUUCACUUUUUGGCAAAGUGACAGCCAUGAACGGAUUUGAUUUGUCUUUACCGAUCACCGUUUGAAUCGGACUAGCUGUACCAACAUCCGGUACAGUGGAUUUCUGAGCAUUUAUUGGGAAAUGCACACCCUUCUCAUCCAUUUUUUGAGGAGAUGGAGAACUCUGAGUUGGGGUCUGAGUUUGUGCAUCAGUUUUGCUUACUGGAGUCUGCUGUCUGAGUUUUGUUUCUAACAUUUGUAUGUGUUUAAUCAAUCUAGUGUUUUCCAUGAGGAGUGACUCCUUUUGGGCAUUUAGCGUUUUGAAGUUUUCCGUCAUAGAAG
rnacentral:lncRNA from 1 species